rnacentral:rRNA from 1 species
CCUACGGGUGGCAGCAGUGGGGAAUAUUGGACAAUGGGGGGAACCCUGAUCCAGCCAUGCCGCGUGUGUGAAGAAGGCCCUCGGGGUGUAAAGCACUUUCAGUGAGGAAGAACGCCUGGUGGUUAAUACCCAUCAGGAAAGACAUCACUCACAGAAGAAGCACCGGCUAACUCCGUGCCAGCAGCCGCGGUAAUACGGAGGGUGCGAGCGUUAAUCGGAAUUACUGGGCGUAAAGCGCGCGUAGGUGGCUUGAUAAGCCGGUUGUGAAAGCCCCGGGCUCAACCUGGGAACGGCAUCCGGAACUGUCAAGCUAGAGUGCAGGAGAGGAAGGUAGAAUUCCCGGUGUAGCGGUGAAAUGCGUAGAGAUCGGGAGGAAUACCAGUGGCGAAGGCGGCCUUCUGGACUGACACUGACACUGAGGUGCGAAAGCGUGGGUAGCAAACAGGAUUAGAUACCCUUGUAGUC